rnacentral:RNase_P_RNA from 1 species
UGGGUCGACCAGGCGGUCGCGACAUUGUCGAGGAACGUCCGGGCUCCAAAGAGCGAAGUGGUGGGUAACACCCACCCGGGGUAACCCGAGAGAUAGUGCAACAGAAAGCAAACCGCCCGCAAGGGUAAGGGUGAAACGGUGGUGUAAGAGACCACCAGCAGCGGAGGUAACUUCGCUGGCUAGGUAAACCUCACUUGGAGCAAGACCAAGCAGAAGGCGUUUGAGGACUGCUCGUCCGAGUCUUCGGGUAGGUCGCUAGAGCAACUGAGUAAUCAGUUGCCGAGAUAGAUGACCGUCCGCGCAAGCGACAGAACCCGGCGUACCGGUCGGCCCAUCAA